UACGUAGGGGGCAAGCGUUGUCCGGAAUCAUUGGGCGUAAAGCGCGUGUAGGCGGCCCGGUAAGUCCGCUGUGAAGGUCCAGGGCUCAACCCUGGAAUGCCGGUGGAUACUGUCGGGCUCGAGUCCGGAAGAGGCGAGUGGAAUUCCUGGUGUAGCGGUGAAAUGCGCAGAUAUCAGGAGGAACACCGAUGGCGAAGGCAGCUCGCUGGGACGGUACUGACGCUGAGACGCGAAAGCGUGGGGAGCAAACAGG
rnacentral:rRNA from 1 species